rnacentral:rRNA from 1 species
AGUAAUACAUCGGAACGUGUCUUCUAGUGGGGGAUAACUGCCCGAAAGGGCAGCUAAUACCGCAUGAGACCUGAGGGUGAAAGCGGGGGAUCGCAAGACCUCGCGCUGGAAGAGCGGCCGAUGUCCGAUUAGCUAGUUGGUGAGGUAAAGGCUCACCAAGGCGACGAUCGGUAGCUGGUCUGAGAAGACGACCAGCCACACUGGGACUGAGACACGGCCCAG